GUUAGGGUGGCAGAGCCUGGUAAUUGCAAAAGACCUAAACCCUUUAUCCCAGAAGUUCAAAUCUUCUCCCUAAUU
rnacentral:tRNA from 1 species